GACGAACGCUGGCGGCGUGCCUAACACAUGCAAGUCGAACGGAGCACUUCGGUGCUUAGUGGCGAACGGGUGAGUAACGCGUGAGCAACCUACCUUUCAGUGGGGGACAACAGUUGGAAACGACUGCUAAUACCGCAUGACGUCAUCGGGGGACAUCCCUUGGUGACCAAAGCUUUAUGUGCUGAAAGAUGGGCUCGCGUCUGAUUAGCUAGAUGGCGGGGUAACGGCCCACCAUGGCGACGAUCAGUAGCCGGUCUGAGAGGAUGAACGGCCACAUUGGGACUGAGAUACGGCCCAGACUCCUACGGGAGGCAGCAGUGGGGAAUAUUGCACAAUGGGCGCAAGCCUGAUGCAGCAACGCCGCGUGAGGGAAGACGGUUUUCGGAUUGUAAACCUCUGUCUUUGGUGACGAAGAAGUGACGGUAGCCAAGGAGGAAGCCACGGCUAACUACGUG
rnacentral:rRNA from 1 species